rnacentral:misc_RNA from 1 species
UUUCCGUAGGUGAACCUGCGGAAGGAUCAUUACUGAGUGAGGGCCCCUCGGGGUCCAACCUCCCACCCGUGUUUAACGAACCUUGUUGCUUCGGCGGGCCCGCCUCACGGCCGCCGGGGGGCAUCUGCCCCCGAGCCCGCGCCCGCCGAAGCCACCUGUGAACGCUGUCUGAAGUAUGCAGUCUGAGACAAUUAUUAAAUUAAUUAAAACUUUCAACAACGGAUCUCUUGGUUCCG